CUCCCGGUUACCUUUGACUGAAAAUCACGCCCUAAUCUUUUGCCCCUCCUCCCUCCCUCCUCUCUCUCCUCACGCCUCCACAGCCGAAAACUCCACGGCUCCCAAACGCAGCUCCACGGCUCCUCAGUAGCUCCCUAACGCAGACACUCCCAGACGCCUUUCAACAAUGGUGGAAACCUCCAUAGCUCCUACACCUCCUGACCUCCACAGCCCAGGGCCACACUACAACAAAUAGUGGCAACAAUAGCAGUCCUUGAGUUGAAGGACACGGAAAGAAGCGGAGGAUGAAAUUACAGCGUUUCGUUAAAAUCUUCCAUAGCGUUCCGCCCAAAAUCAAAGCGCCAAAUCUCUUUCCGCUCAAAAUUCGUUCGGUGCGCUUCUGAAAUUUCAAUCGAUUCCUUGAUUGGCGCCCCACUCUAUUCAUGUGAACCGGUGUUACUCUCUUAUGGAUUCAUUUCUAGUUAAGCUAGGGUGAAUCGAGAGUUCUUCUUCCGCCCAAAGGUUUGUUCUUUUUUCUCUCUUUUCCAAAAUCUGUACGUCAUACGUGGUCCUUACUAACAAUCACAUUUUUUCCCUCUUUCGUACUCGGAGAAGAAUCAAAAGCCAUUGUUUGAUUUUUUGCACCAGUUGAAGCAAAGAAUCAUUGUCCACGGAAGCCAUCACCACCCGAAAUCACUAAUCCAGUGCUAAAAAACCCUUAAAAACCCCAACCCAGCCCUCAGAAUCACAAAGUCUUUCAUUGGCUUAUCUAACCACAUUGUAAUCCCCUAGUUGAACCCAGGGAGAUGCACCAAUACAAGAAGAAAUAAGCCUUUAAGUCCUGCCAAAGGUUUCUCCUAUCCACAAAACCAUUCAUACCAUACACUACAGAAACAUAAAACCACUGCUGAGGAUGCAAGAACUCCACCUUCGCAGUAAUCAACUGAGAAGAUCCCACCCAAGAAUGAUUCUAGCAACCUUGUCAUUCCCCCUAUUGUGAACAGCAUAUUGAGAGGAGGGAAAACAAUGCCUAACAGUUGCAUCAAAAAAUUCUUGACGAACUUUAGAUUCCACAACACCAAACAUACAAAGCUUAUGAAACUUAAUGAAAGAGAGUACCUCCUUCUGCUUUGAGGGGUUAUUGAGGCCCCUUAUAUCCACACACCUAUUUUAUUCAUUUGAAGGGUUUAACCUUCCUACCCCCACCCUUAGUUCUACCACCCUUAGGAGUAGAAACAGUUACAAUUGCAGAAAUGGAAGCACCUGUGACAAUAGUUUCACCCUUAUCUUCUGCACCAACAUCCAGCAAUGAAGAAAACUUACUUAUUCCCAACACAUUUUGGCUUCUUGGCCUCUCACCUACACUAGAGGCAGGCACCCAUCUACUCCUUUUUCCUUGCCCAAAGUAGACAUAGCACCAUUAAAGUAGCCUCCACCCUUCUCAGAAAUAAUCAGCUGGUUACCCAUUGGAAUACCACCAUCCCUAACUGACUAGAAUGCUCAGCUUGACCCACCCCAGAAGCUUCCUUAGUUACAGAAACACUCACGCAACCCAGAUCCCUCAACUCCUCAGCAUCUGGUAGUUUUGGUAUGCCUUGAGAGAUUCCAUCAAUAGUACCAGGAUAGCCACCACAUGCCCACCAGAAGCAUUCUGUUGAAUCAGAUUCUUAACAAUUGGAAUCUGUACACCAGUAUGGGGCCUUGCCACUACCACCAUCUUGGACGGUCCCAACCCCUUGUAGAAGAGCUGCCACUUCAAUUUUCUUGGGACAAACCAUAUCCACAUGACCAAACCUAUUACACACCUGACAUUUUAGAGGUUUCCAAGGAUAUCAAAUGCCCACAUGAGCAACAUCCCCAUUCUAAAAUCGCACUUCAACAGAUUCAGGCAUGGUGGAAUUCACAUCCACCUCCACACAUGUACUAGCAUAGUUCAGCCGCUUACCAGAUUCUGUAAGUUUAUCAGCAUAGAGGGGCUUUCCAAUAGAGCUAGCCACAUAACCCCUUAGCAGUCCAGAGCUCAAGGGGAACAUUGUAAAAGUGUACUCAAACAGGAAUUUUCAUGAUCUCCUCCUUUUCCAGCUUCAUAUGAGGGUGCCAGUGCUUAAGCAUCAUCAUUUUGCCCACAGAAAACCAAGGACCAGACUCCAAAAGUUUCUGUAGCCCACCCUCCUGAUUGAACAGGAAGAAGAAGAAACCUUCAUUAUUAUAUCAUACUUAUGGGUGUUGUUUUAUUAUUUUAGAUCAUACAAGGUACAGUUAUCUAUUUUGAUAUUGACGUCUAGUUGAGGCUCAAGGUAAUUUUCAAUGUCAAUUGUUGGUUAAUUUGUUUGGUUGAUUUGUAAUUUAUAUGAUUAUGAUAGCAUUCACAAUGCAUUCAUUUUUCUUAUUGGUUUAUCCGAUUGUGUGUGUGUGUAACAUUUUUACACGUGUAAUUUAUGAAUUUGGUUUAAAGAAUUUAACGUCAAGGG